rnacentral:misc_RNA from 1 species
GAUGAAGAACGUAGCGAAAUGCGAUAAGUAAUGUGAAUUGCAGAAUUCAGUGAAUCAUCGAAUCUUUGAACGCACCUUGCGCCCUUUGGCUAUUCCGAAGGGCAUGCCUGUUUGAGUAUCAUGAACACCUCAACUCUCAUGGUUUGCCAUGAUGAGCUUGGACUCUGGGGGUCUUGCUGGCCUAUGGUCAGCUCCUCUCAAAUAAAUCAGCUUGCCAGUGUUUGGUGGCAUCACAGGUGUGAUAACUAUCUACGCUUGUGGUUUUCCAUCAGGUAACCUUCAGUGAUGGAGGUUCGCUGGAGCUCAUAAAUAUCCCUCCUCAGCGAGGACAGCUUUUUGAACGUUUGAUCUCAAAUCAGGUAGGACUACCCGCUGAACUUAAGCAUAUCAAUAAGCGGAGGA